CCUACGGGCGGCAGCAGUGAGGAAUAUUGGUCAAUGGUCGGGAGACUGAACCAGCCAAGCCGCGUGAGGGAUGAAGGUACAGAGUAUCGUAAACCUCUUUUGUCAGGGAACAAAGGCGGGGACGUGUCCCCGGAUGAGUGUACCUGAAGAAAAAGCAUCGGCUAACUCCGUGCCAGCAGCCGCGGUAAUACGGAGGAUGCGAGCGUUAUCCGGAUUUAUUGGGUUUAAAGGGUGCGCAGGCGGUCUGUUAAGUCAGCGGUAAAAGCCCGGGGCUCAACCCCGGACCGCCGUUGAAACUGGCAGUCUCGAGUUGGAGAGAGGUAUGCGGAAUGCGCGGUGUAGCGGUGAAAUGCAUAGAUAUCACGCAGAACUCCGAUUGCGAAGGCAGCAUGCCGGCUCAACACUGACGCUGAGGCACGAAAGCGUGGGGAUCGAACAGGAUUAGAUACCCCUGUAGUC
rnacentral:rRNA from 1 species